rnacentral:piRNA from 2 species
GGCGCAAUGGAUAGCGCAUUGGAC